rnacentral:rRNA from 1 species
CCUACGGGAGGCUGCAGUGAGGGAUAUUGGACAAUGGAGGAGAGUCUGAACCAGCCAAGUAGCGUGAGGGAUGACUGCCCUAUGGGUUGUAAACUUCUUUUAUAUGGGAAUAGAAUGUUCCACGUGUGGGAUUUUGUAUGUACCAUCUGAGUAAGGAUCGGCUAACUCCGUGCCAGCAGCCGCGGUAAUACGGAGGAUCCGAGCGUUAUCCGGAUUUAUUGGGUUUAAAGGGAGCAUAGGUGGAGUGUUAAGUCAGUUGUGAAAGUUUGCGGCUCAACCGUAAAAUUGCAGUUGAAACUGGCAGUCUUGAGUACAGUAGAGGUGGGCGGAAUUCGUGGUGUAGCGGUGAAAUGCUUAGAUAUCACGAAGAACUCCGAUUGCGAAGGCAGUUCACUGGACUGCAACUGACACUGAGGCUCGAAAGUGUGGGUAGCAAACAGGAUUAGAUACCCCGGUAGUC